rnacentral:rRNA from 1 species
AGAGUUUGAUCCUGGCUCAGAUUUAACGCUGGCGUUAUGCAUAACACAUGCUAGUUAUACAAAUUAUUUCAUUAAUAUUAAUAAAAUCUAUAUUUAAUAAAGAUAUAUUAUUGUAAUUAAUUAGUAGCGUAUAGGUGAGUAAUAUAGUAAUCCAUAAUUAAUAGCUUAUUAUAAUUUUUUUAAUUAAAAAAUAAAAAUAAAUAUUAUAUUUUAUUAUAAUUAAAAUAUAAAAAUAUAAUAAUAUUAUUAUAUUGUUAUUAAUUUGGUUUCUACCGGAUUAGUUUGUUGGUAAUUAAAGGUUUACCAAGACUAUGAUCCGUAGCUGGUCUGUAAGGACGGUCAGCCACAUUGGGAUUGAAAUAAAGCCCAAACUUCUUAUGAAGGCAGCAGUGAGGAAUAUUGGACAAUGAGCUAAAGCUUGAUCCAGCAAUAUCGCGUGUGUGAUGAAGGGAAACUGUAAAACACUUUUCUUUAUUAUUAAGUUUAUUUUAUAUUAAAUUGAAUUAAGUAAAGGAAUAAGUACUAGCUAAUUACGUGCCAGCAGCUGCGGUAAUACGUAGAGUGCAAGUGUUAAUCGGUUUAAUUGGGCGUAAAGGGUAUGUAGGCUGAAAAUUAUGAGAUUUCUUAAAUCAAUAAGCUUAACUUAUUUUUGGAAAUUUUACUAAUUUUCUUGAUUUUAGGUGAGGAAAAAAGAAUUUUACAAGUAGUGGUGAAAUACGUAGAUAUGUAAAAGAAUACCAAUAGCGAAGGCAUUUUUUUAACCUAAUUUUAACGCUAAUAUACGAAAGCAUGGGUAGCAAACAGGAUUAGAUACCCUGGUAGUCCAUGCCCUAAACUUUGUCAACUGAUUAUUAGUAAUAUAAAUAUUAAUUAUUAUUUAUUAUUGUUUAAUUAUAAAUAUUUUGUUAAUUAUUUAAUUUUUCUAGUAGUUAAGCUAACGCAUUAAGUUGACCGCCUGGGGAUUACGAUCGCAAGAUUAAAACUCAAAGGAAUUGACGGGGACCUGCACAAGCAGUGGAUGAUGUGGAUUAAUUCGAUGCAACCCGAAAAAACUUACCUACUUUUGACAUGUAUAGAACUUAAUUGAGAGAUUUUGGUGCC